CCAGCCCUCACGGUUGGGUCCCUGCCACCAUGGCAACACUCUGGUUUCUGAGCUGGAGUGGCCAAGGCACAAUGGGGUGGUUCCAUGGCCCAGAAGCACUCUAGCUACAGAUUAGAAUGAUGACAAGAGUAAUACCUUCCUAGUGAAGAUGACUUUUAUUUCAGGACUAUAUUAAGUUUCCCAACUUCUGUCAUGAUAUAGUCCAAAGAGAACCUGGACCACGCAGACAUCAAACAGAACAUGACACUGACCCAUUCUAUCAGUGACGUUGUGCUGAUUGCACAGGACAGAUGAGAGGCUCGUAUACUAGAAGUCUUGUUUCACAUGUCCACAGAUGAAGAAAAAUUGUGCCCCAGCAAGGAUUAUACCCAGAGCCUCAUCCAUUCAUACCUGAUUUAGAUACUUAGAUGAUGAGUAAUAGAAAAGCAUCAUCUUUAUGUAAAUCACUGUACUUGGCUUCGUGAGAAAUAUAAAAAUGAAUUGCUUCAAUCCCUGGACUCAAGGAUCCUGUGUUACCAAGGUGGUUAUCAAACCUGGGUCAAAGUUGAAUCACCUGAGGAUCUUUUAGAACAUACACAGUCAUAUGAUACUUCAAAAUCUGUGAUUCCAUGAAGCCAAGAGUAGCUCUUCAACAGGAAAUGAAUGAGUGCUUCAGCUUCUGAUCCCAUUAGUAAGAAAAUACAGUCUUAUGAGCAAUGAUGGAGCUGCAUCUCUUAGGGGCAUUUGAUUCCCAAGAGACCAAAGAGCAAAGAGAAUGUCAAUUUAAAAAAAUCAAAUGUUUCCAUGACUUAGCUAUUUAACUGCUUUAAAAUGAAUGAAUGCUGCUUCAAGUUCUUUCAAAUACCCCACAUCUUGGCAACAACGAAAGGAAUUAACAUGAAGAAAAUUUACAAUCUUUCAUCACAUCGAACAAUGUCCCACAUUUGAAAAGUUCACAGCACAGAUUUCUGGUUACUGAAAGAAAGGAAAGACCUUCUUUGGAUUUGAAUAAACAGAUGGACUUUCUUCUCCUUUUUCUUAUAGUGCCCGAUUUGUGUAAAGGGAGGUGGGAAGAAAACAUCUUAGCUUAAAAGAGUGUCCUAUAAAAUAAAAGGUUUCAUACUUGCCUAUAGCUAAUCUCUGAAGGUGGUUACAAAAGAGGAUUUCUGAAACAUUUUAUAUGCAAUGGCCCAGACAUUUGCAUAAGUGGUCAAACUUUCAAGAUGACAACUUAAAAAUAUAAUACUCCUUUUG
rnacentral:lncRNA from 1 species